UGACAUGUGGUAUUAUGUAAUUCAUUAUGUAAAGCUUAAUUUACAUGUAGUAAAUUCCAAUUUUAUUACACUCGUGAUUUUCAGUAGUAUAAAUGGAUACUACUUACUAGUAUUUAUAUCUCAUCUGUAUAUACCUUUUUUUGGCAACAAGAAUAAGCUCGUUCGAUAUUCUCUCUAUGGUCGUGUAGAAGGAAAAAAUCGAUGUGAAUAUAAGUUUUAUAGUGGAGCCAUGUUAAAUCAUUAAAUUCGCAAGAGUGGAGGCUUUAAGACGUUCUCAUGAACUCGACUCUCC
rnacentral:lncRNA from 1 species